rnacentral:lncRNA from 1 species
UCUGGGUUUGGAACGUUAUUUUUCUAUGGAGUUUAUUUUGAAUAUUCAUGCUCUGGAUACUGGUUGAAGAAGCUGCGAUUUAUCUUUGUUUAUGCUUUACAUUUGCAAUUGAAAGCAUGAUGCUAAGACUAUUGAGCCGUCUCACAUUCUUCUUUAGCUUUUUCUUUGAGGUCUUUGUAGAGCUUUUGGGGAGAACAUUUUCACGCUGUUUUUGAUGGGUUGAAGGAAUGAAGAGCACGGAAGUGAAACCAACCCCCACAUAGGUGUUAAUUUUCUUGUUUUUGCUGUGAACGUUUUUUUUUGAAAAAAAACUUUGGAAUGUUUAUUUUGUUUGGUACAUUGCUUCCAGGGGAUGAAUGAAAGAAAGACACACUUUUCCUUUUAAUGGUUUCUUCGUUACGCUGAUUCAAUUUGGUUCGUGAUUUUUUUUUCUAUUGAAAUUUCAUUAAAUGAGCACACCACGACUGCUGAAAGGAAAGUAACAUUUACUUGUUUUCAUGGCAUGAUAAAUGGAUUAUAUAGGAAUAGGUGUAUGGUGUUGGGAUUUAAUUUUAAAGCCAAUUAUUUCCUUUCUUCUAGAAGGAAUACAUAAGUUGUGAUUGAAUGAAGGACAACCACACCUUUUUUUUUUGUUUCUUAUAUGGAGAAAACGUUGAUUACCUACCUUGAAUGUUUAUUUUUUUAUUUAUUUUAUUAAAAGCAAAUG